UUUUAGAAACAUACUCACCAAUAAAGUCAAACCUUAACUAGGCUGUAAAAAGCCUUAGUUAUUGUAAGAUACCCAACGAAAGUGACUUUAAAAUUUCUGAUUACACGAUAGCUAAGACCCAACUGGGAUUAGAUACCCCACUAUGCUUAGCCCUAAACAUAAAAAAUUAAAAACAAAAUUAUUCGCCAGAGUACUACCAGCAAGAGCUAAAAACUCAAAGGACUUGGCGGUGCUUAUAUCCCUCUAGAGGAGCCUGUUCUAUAAUCGAUAAACCCCGAUAUACCUCACCAACCUUGCCAUAUCAGCCUAUAUACCGCCAUCUUCAGCAAACCCUAAUAAAGGAACCACAGUAAGCACAAACAUCAACAUAAAAA
rnacentral:rRNA from 1 species